rnacentral:tRNA from 2 species
CCCGCCAUGGGCGACAGUUGUUGCGUGAACGUGGUUUGUGGCCGCGUGUCUUGACCGAGGUCAGGGGCGGCGGUGCGGGUCAGCAGUCGCGAGG